ACACAUCAUGUGAAAUCUUGAAGGCUACUUGAAAUUCCAUUCUGUUUUCUUUUCCACUUUGCAAGGAAAAGCUUGAAGACAGACAACGGAAUCCUGUAUACACAGGAUUCUUUAUUCAACUAGGAUUUCAACAUAUCAAAAACAGGCCUCAAUAGGAUAAAGAGUUACUAAGAUAAAAAAAGAAUGGCUUUUCAAUGUCAUAGCGUAUGCAUGGAUGGGAUCUGAGAGCCAGCAGAAAGAUGAGGAGCAAAAUAUAUGUUACUGGUGCCAUGGUGACAGAGAUGGCAGAUCAGAAGAUGGAGGCUUGAAAAUCUGCAGAGACAGGUUGCCUGCUUCAACCAAGGAAGCUCACAACUUGCCUCUUUCCUCCAUUGUAUUAAGUCAAUUCAGGUGUUAUAGGAGAGAGGAUGCUGGCAGUUACUUGUCUGGAGGGCACACACAUGGCACUGCCAUCCCCUGUGGUGCCAUUGAAGGAGACCUCCAGGGCUUCUGCUUUCUCCUGGAACCAACACCUCUCAGCAAAAUGCCUAACAGCAAAAUGAAGUUUCAUGUUUCAUGUUCGUUUUUUUAAAAAGCUGAUGUGCUAGGCUUCUUAGACUAGUCUUUUGGAUAAGUGAUAUAAAUAAAAAUGCUAAAGGAUGCCUGUCA
rnacentral:lncRNA from 1 species